rnacentral:rRNA from 1 species
GACGAACGCUGGCGGCGUGCUUAACACAUGCAAGUCGAGCGGUAAGGCCCUUUCGGGGGUACACGAGCGGCGAACGGGUGAGUAACACGUGGGUGACCUGCCCUCAGCUCUGGGGAUAAGCCUGGGAAACUGGGUCGUAAUACCGGAUAUGACUCCAUGACGCAUGUUGUGGGGUGGAAAGCCUUGUGCGGCUGAGGAUGGGCCCGCGGCCUAUCAGCUUGUUGGUGGGGUGAUGGCCUACA